GGAAGAAUAGCCUAAAGGUAAGGCAGAAGCUUGCUAAGCUUUGGAAGAAAAUCCUUAAAGGUUCGAAUCCUUUUUCUUCUA